AUGUGUGAUGGUCACUGACAAGGUCUCCAGUGACAAGAACUAACACAGGAUGGUCGCUUCUGCGUCUCAGCCAGAAACAGCGUGACGUGAGACAGGAGGAGAUGCACUCACAGGAGAGCCCUUUACCUGAGGUUUCCAACAGGACGCAGGCUCUGGAUGAAGCCUGGUGCCAACUCAGCCACUUGGCAUCUCCAGAACGCGAGCUGGAAGUGGUGGGAUCCUGGUCUUGCUCUCUGAUGCCGCUAAGCAUAUCCAAGAUCCCUUGAUUCCUCUGUAUGUGCCCAGGAUGCCCUCCCUGGCAUACGGGGUAGAUUGGGACAGCCUGUGGAGACUCAGUAAAUGGAUCUUGUCUCUCUCCCCUUGCUCCUCCUUUUGUAAGUGAGCUAAAGGCCAGAGAACAAGCCCCUGAUUAAAGAGCAAGAAGUUCUUGGAAA